AUUGAACGCUGGCGGCAGGCCUAACACAUGCAAGUCGAGCGGAGAUGAGGUGCUUGCACCUUAUCUUAGCGGCGGACGGGUGAGUAAUGCUUAGGAAUCUGCCUAUUAGUGGGGGACAACAUUCCGAAAGGAAUGCUAAUACCGCAUACGUCCUACGGGAGAAAGCAGGGGAUCUUCGGACCUUGCGCUAAUAGAUGAGCCUAAGUCGGAUUAGCUAGUUGGUGGGGUAAAGGCCUACCAAGGCGACGAUCUGUAGCGGGUCUGAGAGGAUGAGCAGCGACACUGGGACUGAGACACGGCCCAGACUCCUCCGGGAGGCAGCAGUGGGGAAUAUUGGACAAUGGGGGGAACCCUGAUCCAGCCAUGCCGCGUGUGUGAAGAAGGCCUUAUGGUUGUAAAGCACUUUAAGCGAGGAGGAGGCUACUGAGACUAAUACUCUUGGAUAGUGGACGUUACUCGCAGAAUAAGCACCGGCUAACUCUGUGCCAGCCGCCGCCGUAAAAC
rnacentral:rRNA from 1 species